rnacentral:lncRNA from 13 species
CUUUUAAGCACAUUUUACUCCUAAACUUACAUUUAAACUUGCCAUAACAAAGGGGUUAAAUAGUUUUUGACUCAAGACAUUUCCGAUUUUCAUUUUUAAUUAAUUUGUACACAUUUCUUAAAACAUAAUUCCACAUUAUUUGGGUAUUUUGUGUAGGCCAGUUACACGAAAUCCAAUUUAAUAUAUUUUAAAUUCAGGCUGUACCCACAAAAUGUGGAAACAGUCAAGGGGUGUGAAUACUUUCGGAAGGCACCGUAAACACACACACACACACACACACACUACAGUACCCCCACCCACCCUAAAGAGAAAUUGAAAGAGAGAAAUUGAUAGAGAGAGAGAGAGAUAUUCUUCGAUAUUCCCUGUGCAUCUGGGAAGGACUGUUAACGGGGGAGUGGUUUACUUUUUCACUUCGCUUCAAGCACAGCGCAUGAUUCCGUCCGCGCUUGAGACAUUUGGAGGCAUCGCUUUCAUGAGAUUUAAUCUCUUUUUACAACAAGGAUAUAUCACAGUAGCGAGGAUGGAAUUGAGAAAGUUGUCACGGUUAUAUUUCUUCAUUGUCUGUGUUUUGAACACCUCCAGCUCUGCAUCCGCUGCCAAUCACCUGUUACUGGCAAAGGAUUACAAACGCCCACUUAAUAUUGACAAUGCCAUUAAGAGAGCUAUGAUGCAGGAGCUUUGUCUGAGUCACAAGAAUAACAAGGCAGGAGAGAGGGCAACCGUAUCAGACCCACCAUCUGGGGCUGCUGGGAUAUGGAAGCCAAGCUGUCAUUCUCGUCCAAUGGGAGCCUUUUUGGCUCCAGUCUGGUAUUCACCAGGGGCUAAUCAGCCAGUAACCUCUGGUUUCUUUGCAUAGUGACACACAGUGUUGGCUAAUGAUGAGUUCCAUGUGGAGUAGCCUGUCACACAGAGGUGAAGCAACCAGAAAGACUAAUCAGGAGAGAUUUGAAUCAAAAGAGUGACGACAGUACCAUGUAUGCCAACCUGAAACAAAAUAACAAAAUGUAGGCCUAUCCCAUAUUUGCUAAAUAUGUUAAAUAUGUUUUUGAACAAUAGUAGCAUGGCUUCAGUAUGGAAAUAAUAUUCUUAACAUAGCAUUCACACUGAUAUAGGCCUACUGUAAAAUACAUUUGUCUGAGCCAUGCACAUUCCAAACGUUGUCGAUAAGCAAGAUUAUAAACUGGUUGGUUCGAGCCCUGAAUGCUGAUUGGCUGGAAGCCGUGGUAAAUCAGACCGAAUAUGACAAAACAUUUAUUUUUAGUGCUCUAAUUACGUUGGUAACCAGUUUAUAAUAGCAAUAAGGCAUCUCAGGGGUUUGUGAAAUAUGGCCAAUAUACCACAGCUAAGGGCUGUGUCCAGGAACUCUGCGUUGCCUUGUACAGAAGAAUAGCCCUUAGCCGUGGUGUACUGGCCUUAUUGCUUAUUUAAAGCCCUAUGGAGGGUUGUACGCACAUCCAAACUGAGAAAAAAUCACAACUUCACUUGAACUUCUUUAGUAACUCGAUGUAUGCAGGAAAAUACACACUGGGAUGAUAAUGACGGAGUUGUAUAAACACACAGAUUUAGGAGGAGGUCCUAGAGAGUUCCUCUUUUGAUUGUCACACAAGACUGCCACUUGAUUGGUUAAUAUAGAACGGUGGGUAGUUCAUAUAUAAAUUACGUUUGUACAUUAGACAGAAGACAAUACUCAUCAUGUCUGUAAAAUGUAUCAUACAGACAAAGCAAUGUUCUGAUAGUAUGCAGGCUAACCAUGGGAUUUUGGGGGAAAAAGUCCAAAACAAGCCACAGGUGCCUAAUAACGAACAACAAUUUAUUGUAGGUGUUGCAGAAACCAGACUGUAGUGCUUGGGAAAUAUUUAAGCAGAGAUACAUUUCCCCUGAGAAACUGCUCUGUGAUCGAAAACCAUAUCAGUGUCUGUCAUCACGUCUCAAUUAGCUGAGUCAGCCAACUGUCUUUCCUACGUGUUGUCUUUGUUACUACUGUAAGUGUUAUUGUUAUGUUUGGUUUUCUCUAAGACCUGAUUGCCCCUGGGUAUUAGUUGGUUAUCAAAUCAAAGUUUAUUUGUUACGUGUGCCGAAUACAACAGGUGUAGUGAACCUUAAGGUGAAAUGCUUACUUACAGGCUCUAACCAAUAGUGCAAAAAAUAUAUUAGGUGAACAAUAGGUAAGUAAAGAAAUAAAACAACAGUUAAAAAGACAGGCUAUAUACAGUAGCGAGGCUACAUCAGGUAGGAAUCUCUGUGAGACAUUCUCUUUCAGUCAUAUCCAAUACCAGGUGAAUCAAACUAUGUUCUUUGAAUGAUGCUGUGUCUGCAUGUAUGUAUUACAAUUAUACACUUCAACAGUGUUUACCACUCCUGCUCCUGGGACAUCAAUGGUUACACAUUGAAACUAUGCAAUAGACUAGAAACAUGAUUUAAGUCAAGGCUGAUUUGUAAUUCCUACAUAGAGAAAUAAAACAGUACACUACACUUCCCUUCAUCUGCAUUCAUCUGAGGACACAGGAUAGGUGUAGUAUUUCAAUGAGAUACUUCAUUUCAACCAGUGGAGAAUGUGAAACGCUUUAUUGAAAGUUCAUCAUCCAGGUGUUUAUAAAUACUUAAUUCAUGCAUUUAUAAAUAUUAUAAUUGUAAUAGUAUAUUAUAAAUACAAGUUCAAUCUGUACUUCAAUGCACAUAUGGUAUGCAUUAUAAAAAAGAGGAAGAAAGAGGAGGUGGAGAUAGAGGUGUAGAAGACAGAAAGGGAAAGAGGUAAGAACAGAGGAGCAGGGAAGACAGCAUAUGAUUAAUGAAUUACAGUGCUACCCUAAUAUUCUCUCAGUUCAUCACAAUUACAUAGUGUCUCUAGCGGUGUCUCCUAACCAGCCUUGGGCUCCCAGACAGCCCGAAGGUUAUCUUAAGAGCGGAUGAGGGACGGGACUGGCUUCCUCUCUCACAUCAAAACAUACCUGCAGAAGAGAGACAUGGAUGGAGAGAGAAAAUGAUUAAGCCUUGUUUUUUUUAUUCUAACACGGUCAAUCAUCAGGAGGUGAAAUGGAAAACUGACCUUGGAUCAUUAACUCUGGGACUACUACAUCUCUAUCUGUAUUUCAAUGUAAAGCAUCUCUUUAACUUCUUACGGCUAGGGGUUCCGCUAGAGGCAGAAAUAUAGAUACAAUUAAUCACUAACCUUUGAUGAUCUUCAUCAGAUGACACUCAUAGGACAUCAUGUUACACAAUACAUGUAUGUUUUGUUCGAUAAAGUGCAUAUUUAUAUCCAAAGAUCUCAGUUUACAUUGGCGCGUUACGUUCAGUAAGGUUUUGCUUCCAAAACAUCUGGUGAUUUUGCAGAGAGCCACAUCAAUUUACAGAAAUACUUAUAAUAAACAUUGAUAAAAGAGUGUUUUUCACAGAAUUAAAGAUAUACUUCUCCUUAAUGCAACCGCUGUGUCAGAAUUUAUUUUUUUUAUUACGGAAAAAGCAAACCUUGCAAUAGUACGGCGCACAGACAACAAAUCAAGCCAAACAGAUAUCCGCCAUGUUGGAGUCAACAGAAGUCAGAAAUAGCAUGUUUGAUGUUUGAUUUGUUCGAUAAAGUUCAUCUUUAUGUCCAAAUACCUCCUUUUAUGUAAGCGCGUUCAGCCCAGUAAUCCAAAUUCAUGAUGGGCGGGCAGACGAGCAGACGAAAAGUUUUUAAAAAAUCUGUUACAGUCCGAAGAAACAUGUCAAACGAAGUAUAGAAUCAACCUUUUAGGAUGUUCUUAACAUAAAUCUUCAAUAAUGUUCCAACCGGAGAAUUCCUUUGUCUUCAGAAAUGCAAUGGAACUCAAGCUAACUCUCACGUGAACGCGCAUCAGAAGCUCAUGGCACUCUGCCAGACCGCUAACUCAAAGAGCCCUCAUUCCCUCCUCCUUCACAGUAGAAGCAUCAAACAAGGUUCUAAAGACUGUUGACAUCUAGUAGAAGCCUUAGGAAGUGCAAUUUGACCCCAUAGACACUGUGUAUUCGGUAGGCCAAGAGUUGAAAAACUACAAACCUCAGAUUUCCCACUUCCUGGUUGGAUUUUUCUCAGGUUUUGCCUGUUAUACUCACAGACAUCAUUCAAACAAUUUUAGAAACUUCAGUGUGUUUUCUAUCCAAAUACUAAUCAUUUGCAUAUAUUUGCAACUGGGACUGAGUAGCAGGCAGUUUACUCUGGGAACGCUUUUCAUCCAAACGUGAAAAUGCUGGAAUAGGGG